rnacentral:rRNA from 1 species
GGUUAAGUUAGAAAGGGCGCACGGUGGAUGCCUUGACACUAGGAGUCGAUGAAGGACGGGACUAACGCCGAUAUGCUUCGGGGAGCUGUAAGUAAGCUUUGAUCCGAAGAUUUCCGAAUGGGGAAACCCACCAUACGUAAUGGUAUGGUAUCCUUAUCUGAAUACAUAGGGUAAGGAAGACAGACCCAGGGAACUGAAACAUCUAAGUACCUGGAGGAAGAGAAAGCAAAUGCGAUUUCCUGAGUAGCGGCGAGCGAAACGGAACAUAGCCCAAACCAAGAGGCUUGCCUCUUGGGGUUGUAGGACAUUCUAUACGGAGUUACAAAGGAACGAGGUAGACGAAGCGACCUGGAAAGGUCCGUCGUAGAGGGUAACAACCCCGUAGUCGAAACUUCGUUCUCUCUUGAAUGUAUCCUGAGUACGGCGGAACACGUGAAAUUCCGUCGGAAUCUGGGAGGACCAUCUCCCAAGGCUAAAUACUCCCUAGUGAUCGAUAGUGAACCAGUACCGUGAGGGAAAGGUGAAAAGCACCCCGGAAGGGGAGUGAAAGAGAUCCUGAAACCGUGUGCCUACAAAUAGUCAGAGCCCGUUAACGGGUGAUGGCGUGCCUUUUGUAGAAUGAACCGGCGAGUUACGAUCCCGUGCGAGGUUAAGCUGAAGAGGCGGAGCCGCAGCGAAAGCGAGUCUGAAUAGGGCGUUUAGUACGUGGUCGUAGACCCGAAACCAGGUGAUCUACCCAUGUCCAGGGUGAAGUUCAGGUAACACUGAAUGGAGGCCCGAACCCACGCACGUUGAAAAGUGCGGGGAUGAGGUGUGGGUAGCGGAGAAAUUCCAAUCGAACCUGGAGAUAGCUGGUUCUCCCCGAAAUAGCUUUAGGGCUAGCCUUAAGUGUAAGAGUCUUGGAGGUAGAGCACUGAUUGGACUAGGGGUCCUCAUCGGAUUACCGAAUUCAGUCAAACUCCGAAUGCCAAUGACUUAUCCUUAGGAGUCAGACUGCGAGUGAUAAGAUCCGUAGUCAAAAGGGAAACAGCCCAGACCGCCAGCUAAGGUCCCAAAGUGUGUAUUAAGUGGAAAAGGAUGUGGAGUUGCUUAGACAACUAGGAUGUUGGCUUAGAAGCAGCCACCAUUUAAAGAGUGCGUAAUAGCUCACUAGUCGAGUGACUCUGCGCCGAAAAUGUACCGGGGCUAAAUACACCACCGAAGCUGCGGAUUGAUACCAAUGGUAUCAGUGGUAGGGGAGCGUUCUAAGGACAGUGAAGUCAGACCGGAAGGACUGGUGGAGUGCUUAGAAGUGAGAAUGCCGGUAUGAGUAGCGAAAGACGGGUGAGAAUCCCGUCCACCGAAUGCCUAAGGUUUCCUGAGGAAGGCUCGUCCGCUCAGGGUUAGUCAGGACCUAAGCCGAGGCCGACAGGCGUAGGCGAUGGACAACAGGUUGAUAUUCCUGUACCACCUCUUUAUCGUUUGAGCAAUGGAGGGACGCAGAAGGAUAGAAGAAGCGUGCGAUUGGUUGUGCACGUCCAAGCAGUUAGGCUGAUAAGUAGGCAAAUCCGCUUAUCGUAAAGGCUGAGCUGUGAUGGGGAAGCUCCUUAUGGAGCGAAGUCUUUGAUUCCCCGCUGCCAAGAAAAGCUUCUAGCGAGAUAAAAGGUGCCUGUACCGCAAACCGACACAGGUAGGCGAGGAGAGAAUCCUAAGGUGUGCGAGAGAACUCUGGUUAAGGAACUCGGCAAAAUGACCCCGUAACUUCGGGAGAAGGGGUGCUUUCUUAACGGAAAGCCGCAGUGAAUAGGCCCAAGCGACUGUUUAGCAAAAACACAGCUCUCUGCGAAGCCGUAAGGCGAAGUAUAGGGGGUGACACCUGCCCGGUGCUGGAAGGUUAAGGAGAGGGGUUAGCGUAAGCGAAGCUCUGAACUGAAGCCCCAGUAAACGGCGGCCGUAACUAUAACGGUCCUAAGGUAGCGAAAUUCCUUGUCGGGUAAGUUCCGACCCGCACGAAAGGUGUAACGAUUUGGGCACUGUCUCAACCAGAGACUCGGUGAAAUUAUAGUACCUGUGAAGAUGCAGGUUACCCGCGACAGGACGGAAAGACCCCGUGGAGCUUUACUGUAGCCUGAUAUUGAAUUUUGGUACAGUUUGUACAGGAUAGGCGGGAGCCAUUGAAACCGGAGCGCUAGCUUCGGUGGAGGCGCUGGUGGGAUACCGCCCUGACUGUAUUGAAAUUCUAACCUACGGGUCUUAUCGACCCGGGAGACAGUGUCAGGUGGGCAGUUUGACUGGGGCGGUCGCCUCCUAAAGUGUAACGGAGGCGCCCAAAGGUUCCCUCAGAAUGGUUGGAAAUCAUUCGUAGAGUGCAAAGGCAUAAGGGAGCUUGACUGCGAGACCUACAAGUCGAGCAGGGACGAAAGUCGGGCUUAGUGAUCCGGUGGUUCCGCAUGGAAGGGCCAUCGCUCAACGGAUAAAAGCUACCCCGGGGAUAACAGGCUUAUCUCCCCCAAGAGUCCACAUCGACGGGGAGGUUUGGCACCUCGAUGUCGGCUCAUCGCAUCCUGGGGCUGUAGUCGGUCCCAAGGGUUGGGCUGUUCGCCCAUUAAAGCGGUACGCGAGCUGGGUUCAGAACGUCGUGAGACAGUUCGGUCCCUAUCCGUCGUGGGCGUAGGAAAUUUGAGAGGAGCUGUCCUUAGUACGAGAGGACCGGGAUGGACGCACCGCUGGUGUACCAGUUGUUCUGCCAAGGGCAUAGCUGGGUAGCUAUGUGCGGAAGGGAUAAGUGCUGAAAGCAUCUAAGCAUGAAGCCCCCUCAAGAUGAGAUUUCCCAUAGCGUAAGCUAGUAAGAUCCCUGAAAGAUGAUCAGGUUGAUAGGUUCGAGGUGGAAGCAUGGUGACAUGUGGAGCUGACGAAUACUAAUAGAUCGAGGACUUAACCAU